CAGGAGCCCGCGAUGUUGCAGGACAUCCUGGAAAGAUGGAGACCUGAUCUCCCCUGCGACUGUGUGCACCACAUGCUAACAGGGUUGAAUAAUGACAAGAGCAAAAUAACUUCCAGACCCUCUUCCUUGUUCCUCCGAGUGGCUCGAGUCCGUGGUUGGAGUUCCCUCAACUCAUUGCUCGUAUCUUACAAACAGAACUUAAAUCAACACAGACAGUUGUGACAGCUGACACAGCCCACAGAGAGCAGCUCAGCACAAUGGCAAUGACUUAUUCCACCAUCAGCUCGGAUCUGGGGCAGACAGAAGCCACGUGAAAGGAGAUUGUCUCCCAAUGACAACAUCAACUCCCACCACCAAAGGGCUAGAACCUGCACAAACCACCAGGCUUCUGAAGAAGUAAUUCCACAUCCUUACCAGGAAAUGUGUUUUGCAGGUUUAUAAGCCAAGGUGUAGCUGGUGUUCCCCGAGCCUUUCUGCCCUCCUUAAAAGCCAGCAGGUGAGAACUCAGCAAACGUAACACCAUAGGUAACGUGUUUAGGGAUGGGCACGCUGGUUCAGGUAGAAGGAGCAAUAACCCAAACUGGACCUUUGCCCAUUUUUUGGGACAUGACUCAACCUAAACUGGACUUUCAUCCAUUUCACAAACCUAAACCUGAACGUUCACUGGAACAGACGCCUGUUAAAGUUCAGAGAAAUUUGGUUAACUCUCGGCUGUGUUCAUGCACCGCUGCCCUCCUCCAAAGUCAGUAAUUUGAACAUCAGCUUAUGUUGUACCCCUGGACCGCUGUGCACUUCAAGUCUCUGAGAUUUACGCCACACUUGGCCUCAACCCAACCUGUUCCUUCAGCUUUGCCGACAGUGGGUUAGAUAAUUGGAGCAGAGGGGAUGAGUGUGGUGAGACCAUCCAGCCGCUUGACAUGGUUUGACUGUGUGUGUGGUUUUGACGAGGAGAGUAAUUGGAUAUUCCUCCUCUGAGUUAACACUACAAAACAGGAGCAAAGGGCUGCAGUGUAGCAGGGGUGGGAUUUUUUUUUCUUACUGCACUGUGCACAGUUCUGGUGCUCGUUCCUCCUGGAUAAGAGCUAUACAGCAAAGGAGCAACUGGCUUCAUAACCUCUUUCCCGUCGUGCUGAAACCCUAACCUGAGGAGUUCUUCAGCUACUCAGGGAAUCUUCUAGGUUUCAUGUUCGCCCUGGGGCGAGACGGUUGUCUAUUGUAUUUCCCUGUUAUGAUAUGAACAAUUCUCUUGGAAUUCAGCUAGCGUCGCUAAGGGUCAGGCUGCAUGGGAUCUUCCUUUUAUCUCCCUCGUUUCACUGACUCAAGCUUAUGAUGAAAGGCUAAUCUCCCUCUUUCUUCUGCUAAUACCCUUUUUCUAAAGGGAAUCUAGGGUUGGUGAAAGGGGCUGGAUUGACAUCCCUGGAACCUUAAAUCUCAUAGUUCUCCUAAGAACAGGUGCCCAGGCAGUAACGGUGUAAGAGUUUACUGGGAAUCAACACGGGAUUACUCCCUUUCUGCAGUUAUACUAGCCAGGCUAUAAUGUUAGUAGGGUAGAUAUCAAUGCUCAGGCUUGAGGACAGAAGCCAGCCGCUAACUCUCCCCAGCCCUACACUCCCAUAGCCAAGGGUAGCAGAGGGCACCGGCCCCUUUAAGAGCAGGCCACUGCCAGCUCACCUCUUCUGGAGGUUAGGCUCUUCAAGGGAGGGGGGUUUCUAGGAGAUGCACUCUCCCAAGAGUGGCUGAGCUGAAUGCCCCCCGACUGCAUAAGACAGAAAUCACAUGGUGGCCAAGCUAUAAAACGAGCUGCUCUGUUCUCAGGGGGAGAAGUGAGUGGCAGGAGGAGAUGUCUCUCCCCCGCAGUGCAUGCAGACGUAUCCAGGGAAGGGGCUGUGGGGAAGGGUCAGAUGGAGAAGGACACUGAGGAAAAGAGAAGCAAGAAGGAAAAUGCCUGGGGGCAAUAUAACACUGGUGGGCUGCAGGUCCUGUGUUGGGGGGUGAGCUGUUAUUUAGGGGCCUCACGCUGGAUUGGCUGGAGGGCUAAACCCCAGCAAGGCCAGGGAGAGAGCGUAGACCACCAGCAGGGAGAGAGGCAAACAGAGGUGUGGGCACGUGACUCCAUACCAAGAGAGGUAAGAACCCAUUAGGGGGCUGUUUUGGAAUAACUUUCUUUGUGUGGAUUGGAAAGCUGCUUCUGCGCUAUCUGGAGAUGGAUACUGAAUUAGCUGAACUACUGGAUGUCCCUAAGCGAUCCCUAUCCUCCUCCCUAGCCUGCCUGUGUGCCCAGCCAGGCCUCGGAGUGGCUGCCCCUAGGGGCAACGAACCAAUUCAUAUCUCCAGCAUUACUGAGCCCUGCAAAAAGGGGAUUAACAGAGCUCGAGACACCUAUCUAAUGCGGACUGUAUUAAGACGGGUAACCUAGUCCAGAUACUGUGGACCACUGCGGAGUGAUUUUUGUUCACUACUGACACAGACCGCAGCCUAGAGAUGAAAAGCUGGAAUCAGUGUAGAGGAGAAAGGCCUUGGGUUCCACUGCUAAUCUCUGUUGGAGGCACAGUCCUGCCCGAAGGAUAAUUGCUGCUUUUUAGGGGAAUAAAUGAAAAAUUGAGAAAUAUUUGUUGCAAAAUUAAUGAGGAGGAGGGUUGGCCCGAUC